rnacentral:sRNA from 1 species
UCCCGGCGCCGCUCGGCCCAGGGCAGGGACCCCGCCACGGCCGGGACCGCCCGGCCCGGCCCCAGCCCGCGCCUCCUCGCGCCCCGCACCGCGCCCUCUCCGCGUCCCCGCCCGCGCGGCCGGACCGGGCAGCCAGAAAAAUCAUUUUUCUUCUCUGGGAAGGUGAACAUUUGUAGCACUGAUUUCCCGGAUCUGGUAACAUGGCAAAAGAUGCCGGUCUAAUUGAAGCCAACGGAGAACUCAAGGUCUUCAUAGACCAGAACCUUAGUCCCGGGAAAGGUGUGGUGUCCCUCGUGGCCGUUCACCCCUCCACCGUCAACCCGCUUGGGAAACAGCUCUUGCCAAAAACCUUUGGACAGUCCAAUGUCAACAUUGCCCAGCAAGUGGUAAUUGGUACGCCUCAGAGACCGGCAGCGUCAAACACCCUGGUGGUAGGAAGCCCACACACCCCCAGCACUCACUUUGCCUCUCAGAACCAGCCUUCCGACUCCUCACCUUGGUCUGCCGGGUGAGCACUUCCCUCUGGACCCUUAGAGUUGUAGGAUUGCUUGCAGUUCGCACCUCCACGUUCUCCUGGGCCACGUGUGUCACACAGUCGUGCAAUGGGGCUCCCACGCACGUUGAUGUCAGCCUCCGAGUCACAUUCACCCAUGAUCGUGGCCUGCACAGGAAGCGCAACAGGAAAGGAGAGAAGAAUGGCAAGGGCCUGCGGCAUUUCUCCAUGAAGGUCUGCGAGAAGGUGCAGAGGAAAGGGACCACUUCCUACAACGAAGUGGCGGACGAGCUGGUCGCGGAGUUCAGUGCUGCCGACAACCACAUCUUACCAAACGAGUCAGCUUAUGACCAGAAAAACAUAAGACGGCGCGUCUAUGAUGCCUUAAACGUGCUAAUGGCCAUGAACAUCAUCUCCAAGGAGAAGAAGGAGAUCAAGUGGAUUGGUCUGCC